UUGGGGGUGAAAUCCCAGGGCUCAACCCUGGAACUGCCUCCAAAACUCCUGGUCUUGAGUUCGAGAGAGGUGAGUGGAAUUCCGAGUGUAGAGGUGAAAUUCGUAGAUAUUCGGAGGAACACCAGUGGCGAAGGCGGCUCACUGGCUCGAUACUGACGCUGAGGUGCGAAAGUGUGGGGAGCAAACAGGAUUAGAUACCCUGGUAGUCCACACCGUAAACGAUGAGAGCUAGUUGUC
rnacentral:rRNA from 1 species